GUCCAGGGAUGGGAAUCGAACCCACAGUGUACCGCUUACCUGGCAGAUACCAUGUCCACUAGGCUACCCUGGA
rnacentral:tRNA from 1 species